GUCUUGCUCGUUAUUAUAAGAAGACCAAGAAGCUACCACCUGUUUGGAAAUAGUAAUGUUCUUUCCUCUCAUUUCUCCAAGCGCCGUUUGCUAUAUGAGUGCUUACUCCUUUUAUGAUGCAUUGGUUCUUUGAAACAAAUAUCUGAAUUAGAGCGUCCAUGGCUCAGCCACCUGAGAAUAUAGUUAUUCCAAGAGAAGUUUAUCCCAAAAGUAACAGGCUGAGACUGUGUGAAUGUUGCUUACGUCCCAUGUUGAGAAUUUAAGGAAAACAGAAUCCAUAUUACUUAAGUUCCAGGAUGCUUAUUUAGUGGUACCCUAUUGGGUGGAGGAACUAGAUUGAAUCGCCCUUUUCUAUUCUAUCUUUCCCGAGAGAUGGUUGGGUCUCAACUGAUGUCUAUUUCUUUCAUGAGAAUCUUUCUCAUUAUUGAUUUUGUAUGCUAUUUUUGUUUAUUGCUUGAUGAAAUGUAGAUGAACAAACUAGUUUCUGGCUUUUUCUGCUUACUGCUGUGUUGUGUGGUGAGGGGAAAGACAUGUUCCUAUAUAAGAUGUUUCAUAUUGGUUAUGGUAUCCUCGUCUAUGAACAUGUCGAUGUGUUCUGCAUUCUCCUUUUUCAGAAGUAUCUGUGUCUGAUUCCUGAUGUUCCACUAUGUUAGAAAGUAGUUCUUUUCUUUUUCUCUUUUUUUUUAAUUUCUUGUUUGUUUGGUUAGAGAAGUUCUUUUCUUCACAAUUAAUUGAUUUUCUUGGUGCAUGUUCAAAAAGACCUCCCAGAAUGGGUUCUUUUCAUUUUGGAAAACAUGGAGAAAUAUUUUACUGUUUAAACUACAGAAUAUUUUUCCUCGAGAGGGAGGACUGGACUUUCUUGUCCAGCAGCAAUUGUACAGACAAUGAAAUUAAUUUGAUGCUUGUCGAAGCAUUGAAAGCAAAUUAUGUUUUAUAAUUUGGUAAGAGGAUGAAUAUUUGCAGAGCUGCCGAUGGGGAUAAAUCAUGCUGGGGCUUAUUGAGAAUGUUAGAGUAAAGCGUCAAUUAGACAUAUGUUUAUUCUUUCUUCUGGAUUAGAAUGUUAUCAGUUACGACAGGACAGUUUACGUUUCUCUUCUUCUUUGGAAAUUGCCUGAUACUUUUUCCUCUGUGGCCGUGUUGUGAUGGCUAGUUACAUAAGCGAAUGAAUCAUGUUGCAAAAAGUGAGCGGCAAUAUUUAUUGUAGUCAUUUUAUCACCUCCUUCAUUACUGCGUACUCAAGUCGAACGACUCUCUUUCUUUUUGCAGUGAAUCUACAACGGCGAGCACUCUUGUGGCAUAAACACUCGAUGGCAGUUUCCAAGGGACGCCGCAUUCUUCACUUUCUUACAUUUGCCGCUUAAGUUACUGGACAGAACAUAUAGUUUUGGACCGUCAGUACUUUAGUUUUGGGGCUGUUUGAGAAAUUGGAUUGUAGGUCUUUUUCCUCCAUCUCUCUAUUUUCUUCUGUUCUCGGUGUCUCGCCAUGAUAAGUUGCGAAGUUCUUUAAUGUUCUAGCAUCGUUGGGACUCUAAGUCAAGCCAGGAAGCUUCUGCCAAAACAAUUCACUUAAUGGGUAAUAGAACACGAAAACACAAGUUUUGAGUAAUGCUACUUUUUAUUUGAUGACUUCAUGUGACCUCUUAACCAUAUAGAAAUAUCAAAUUGUUUACAGUACACAUUUUCUAUUUGUCAAAAAUCUUUAUAGAAAUAUCAUAUUGUUUACAGUACAGAGUCUCUUGACAAUGCUUUACCAAAAUCAACCAUAAAGCAUGAUGUUAUGCGUACAAUUAAUCAUUAAGCCGCAUGCUGCGUAGAAUAUUAAAUUGGAAAAAAAAUUAAAUGAAUACAUAGUCUUUUUAGUAGAAAUAAUUAGAGGUAGGUCAAUAGACCAAGACAUUCACCAAUUGCACUGGAGCAAUUGCAUGUGACAUUUUAUAAAAUCUGGUUUAUGUGAUCUUAGAAUUUCAACAAAAAGUUCAAAGGACAUAUGCUCUUAAAUUGAAAAAAAUUAGAGGUGGAAUUGUAGAACUAGCACAGUUCAAGUACCAUAUGUGAUCUGAUACGCAGCUACUGAUGUUGAAAUAUAAGGACGUGUUUGGUAGCGAUUAUGUUUCUGGAAACAAAUUCUGAUCAGAAAUGAUUCUUUUUUAUUUUGUUCUUAAAACAAUUUCUAAGCAUUUUAAAUCAUUUGGUAGCUGUCCAAAAUUUCUAAUUUUAGAAUACAAUUACGUUUUGUACCGUACUAAUUGAUUCUGUUCCAAAUCAAUUUCUUUUAACUUUUAAAUAAUUUUUUUUCCUUUUUUUCUUAUCUUUUUUCCUUUCUUUCUCCUGUUCUUCUUCUUCUAGUGGCCGGACGCCAGUCCGGCGACUAGCCAGAUGAGGGCCGGCGACCUCAUCAGAGCCUCAUCGACCCUCGGCGAGGCCGGCCCUUGUUGGCCAAGCCUUACCAACAGCUAGACAAGGCUUGCCCAGCCCUGCCAAAUCUGGCAAGGUCAAGCCUCACCAGUGGUUAGGCUUGCCUCCGGCAAGCUCAUCGGACCUCGCCCUGAUUUGGUGAGCCUCUAGCGAGCUCACCGGAUCGGCUGCCGGCAACGAACGGCAGCGGACGGCAACCACAGGAUGGCGGUAGAUGAAGAAGAAGAAGAGAAAAUGGUAGAAGAAAAGAAAUAUGAUUUUGAUUCUUAAAUUUGUUCCCGAAACAAGAAUUAACUUUUUAUUUAUUCUUGAUUUUGUUUCAAAUCUAAUUCCGAGAACAAAAAAAUAGAAAUUUGUUCCAAAAACAAAAGUUUUACCAAACACGAUUCUGUUCCCAAAUUACUCCCGGGAACAAAAAAUCAUAAUCAUGCACUGUUUGGAUGGUUACCAAACAGGCCAUAAGCAACACAUGGAAGUAACAAGGGAAAGAAGAAGUCUCCUUCUUUCAAGAUAGAUAAGCAUGGACGGGAAAGAAGAAGUCUCCUUCUUUCAAGAUAGAUAAGCAUGGACAGAAACAAGUUCGAUCGUGCAACUUGUUGGAUAGUGGAAUAAUCUUAACUAUUAGUCGAAGUAGAAAGAAAGAAUAGAUAAAUAGAAGUUUAAAAUCAUAGAAUUAAGAUAAAAAGCUUGCAGAAGAUAUGUGCCUAAAUAAUAUAGCCCUAGUUCCCUAAAAAAAUUCCAGAUUUUAGUUCUAGUCCCAAAUCUACUUGAAACUUUUUCUUGUCUUAAAAAUCAUGAACUUUCACUAUAAUCCAAAACCCGAACUCGUUAACCUUCCACGAAACAUCAACCUUUAGUCUUCCAACAUGGCAAUUCUACGGCGGCACUAAAUCCACAUAAGAAGCUAACAUGGAAAAACUAAACUUCAACAUUUCUUAUUUUGAAGAUUGAUGGGAAGUCGGAAGCAAUUAAGGCUUACUUCUUCGCUUCUUCGAUUGGCCCCCAACGAGAGAGAACACGCUCGGUUGUUAUCUCCAUAAAAGAUUUUCUCCUAACAACACGAAGUUGAAGCCAGCGAGCUUAUCGUCCUCCAUGCAUUAACCCCUUUCCAUGCGUUUAUCUCUUGACUCAUUUCACUCUAAGGAAUUGAUCGUGGACAGGAGGGAUUCCUCCUUGUAUUGACUAAUAGUGGACUCCAAAGCGUUCGGUGUCUUCCUAAAAAGCCUCGCGCUCAAUCACUCAAAGAAGAGGAUGGCAAAAACUACGAACAACCCUCAUAACAACCGGAUUUUUUUUUUUUUUUUGGGUUCUUUUUUAGUUCUUUUUUCCCCUUAAAUAUAUCUUUCAUCAUUUCUAAUGAAAUACUCAUGCAUUUAUCUGUGUUGUUUAGUUUUUCCUAUUCUUGUUACGUGUAUUAUUCUAGGUAGAAGCUACAUUUUGGGGCUUGCUAUUGUUAUUUCCCUGUAUUGUCUAUUAGUCAGCACUUGUUUCUCUUAUAUAUCCAUAAAUGGGAUUUGUAGUUUCCUCGUGAUCUUCGCCGUCACUUCACACAUUGGAAAUGACAAAAGAUGUGCUCAAAGUCUUCAGGUUCUUGAACAGAAUUCAACCUCACAAGAAUGUUGGUUGAUUGUUGUGGUAGUCAAUUUCUUAGGAUGUAAAUUGCGUUGUUUAUGGUUCGCUUCAGUUAGUGUGAUUUGGUCGACAUUGAACUUGUAGGUUGAUCGUUGUUUCACUGAUUGAAAAUUGGAGUAUUAUUGGGUUAAAUCAAAAGCAAUUGUGAGUUCAUUCAAUUGUUGACUCCUCAUGUGACAUCUUGAAUUUUGACACUUGACGAUAGUAUUUAGCUUGAUUUUCCAUGACCAUUAUAUUUAUAUUAGUUGUAGAAAGGGAUUGAUAUGCUUUGAGAUUCAUAUUUUAUGAUAGUCAAGUUUCAAAUUUAUUGAAUUCAGAUUUUCCUAAUUUUGAUAUCUUACAUUUGUAAUUUUAAUAAAUUCAAAAUAUUUUCAAACUCACCAAUGUUCAAUAUGAAUAUUGAUUUCCCUAAAUCUCUAUUUCUCUACAAUUGGCACGCCAUUUCUCUUUUCUCUACCAAAAUUUUUAAGCCUAUGCUUUGGUUUGACAUUUAUUUUGGUUGGCUUUUACAUCAUCCAUGACAUCGUCAAUUUUAACUAUAGUUCAUAAAUGCUUUAGCUAACUUAUGCCUAUAGUUCAUUAAUGCUUUAGGCGACUCAUGCCUAAAGUUUCUUACAAUUGGCCAAAGAAGAGGAGUUCAUCUUCAUCUCUAUCAAAAUAUUUUUCUUGUGGCAAAAUUUCAUAGGAUCAUUUGUAUCAUAGUUAGCCCAUAGAGACCACUUGAAACAUUUCUAUCAAAAUGCAUACCCUUUCUACCUUUAGAUCUCAUGAUUUUGAUCCAGAGUCAUUUUACUUGGUUCAUUAUGUUGAGAAUGUUGAAAAAGAAGUAGGUUCGGAAGGUGGAAAUAUCCUUGCACAAAUUGAAGGCACAGAGGCAAAGGGAGUUGGUGAAAAAACUCCUCUUCAGGCACAAGAUGUAGCACCAACCUUUAGUAUCACUCUCCACUAGACGCCGAAGACAUUUACGCCUUUCACUUUCCUAAGGACUUAAUAGGCAACAAGGGGAAGCAAGCCGAAGUUCAGGGGGAGGAACAAACUUCUAAGGUAUAGACUAAUCUUCCUUCAAGUGUGGAUAUCCCUCUAGUAUUAUUUGUUGAUGCUGGUGCCCAUAUUGAACAAAAUCCAAACCACUCAAAGAUAGUUGAACUUCUUUAGGAGAUAAAGGUACAUUAGUUUGGGAUGAAGGUUGAGAUUCAACAAAUGUGCAAUUCUCUUCAUGCCAAGAUUAAGAAGGCCUUUGGACAACGCAUGGCUAGAAUUGAGGAGAAUGUACAAAAACACUUGGAAGACUUUUAGCUUGUUCAAGUUCUAAAAAAUCCUUGAAUUUUCAAAAUCUCUCUAUUUUUAAACUUUUUGGUUUUUUUUUUUUACUUGAUAGUUUUAUCUACAGUUUUGUGUGACCCCUCUUGAUGUUGACAAAAAGGGGGAGACAUAUGCAGAUUUAAGAGUUUUUUUUAUUUGUGGCUAAUGUGUUUGCAAGAUUAUGGUUUUUUAGACUAUUAUUAAUAUUAAGUCUAACAUUUGCAUAUUUUGUUUGCCCAUUGUGGUUGCAUAUUCACUAGUUCAUAAAUUUCCAAUAGUUAUACUGUUUAAGUAUUGUUUUUUAGGUUUUUAUUUAAAUUUGUAUGAAAUUUUUGUCAUCAUAAAAAAAGGGAGAGAAUGUUGAAAAAAGCCUCUUACUAAGUUUUGAAGUUGACAAAACUUUUUAUUUUUAUCGUCUUUGCUUCUGAGGAACUUUCAAAGACUCUUAACAAUACUUUUUCAAAUAUAUAUCCCACUCUGAUAAGUCCAGAACGAGAUAAUGUUCAGAACAAAGAAGAGUCCAUAAUCAGACUCGACACAAAUCCAUAAUAAAUUUUGUUUGAAAAGAAUUCUUCAACGACUAUCUUCUGGCCAAAGAUUUCACUUACCUUAUUAAAAAAAAAAAAAAACGUUGAUUGAGUCAAUUAUAUAUUGACAAAAUAAAUCUCGAAGAUAAAUUCCAUAUGAAGUAUUACUUAUGGAAACCAAGAUUAUGAUUGAAUAGACAACCAAAAUCAAGUGGAAUUUCCAUUCUUGUCUUCAACAGCCACAAGAUCUCCUUGAAAGAUUCUGUCCAACAACUUGAUUAGAAGAAUUUCCUCUAGAGAAUGUCAACGGCUAAUGUUGCAUGGAGGAGUAUCUAAAGGAAGGUCAUUUGGUCAAGUUGAUAUGAACGUGAAAUUAGAAUUCCAACAUUUGAAGCUUCUCUCAAUCAUCUGUCUUCGUCUUCAUCUGUGAGCAUUACAAAUUUGUAUGCAAUUUUCUCUUCCCUCAACUAUGUUUAUUUUAAAUAUGUUGCACACUUUCUAGUUAAGAAGUCCAGUGUUCCUCGAAAUUGAUUAUAUUAUUCAUUUAGACUUUGCUUGCAUCUUAUUUUAUUUCAAGUUUAUUUGUUAAGAUUUCUUUUAAAAACAUAUUCAUCCCUCCCUUUAGGUGUGAGAUCUAACUACAUCACAUUCCCCUUGGCCUUAUCAUUGGAUAUAGUCAUAUAAUCAUGCCACUUGUAAUUUUUAACUCGACCACCUCUCUUGCACUUCCACCUAACAUUUUCUUUUAAGUCAUCAUUUCUCUUAACUUGAGUUACUUGUUCUUACCUCUCUUGGCCUAUAUAUAGGUCUCCAUAUAUCUUUAGGUCCCCCUAGGGUCGGUUCCCAGUUCCAUGAGCAGAUCUGUCCAUCCGGACCGAACCAAUUAUAUUAUAAUAAUAUAUUGAUUUUUAAUAUUAAAAUAAAUUUCAAAAUUACUAAUUAACAAAUUUAAAUUUUAGGGCUCCGUCUCCUCUCAUGAUUUCCAUGUUUUAAUAAGAAUUUAGUAAAGUGUGUAAGCUGCCUUUUGAGAAUGCUAGUAUGAACACCUAGAGAGGGGUGAAUAGGUGUUUAAAAUAAAUCUUGGCAAAUAUAUGCGGAAUAAACUUCAAACAAAGAAGUUAAGGAAGAGAAUAAGAACACAAGGUUUAUAGUGGUUCGGCUUAAUCCAAGCCUACGUCCACUCUCCCACGCUAACAGCCUUCUUAGCUGGAUUCCACUAUGCAAUCAACAAGAGAUUACAACUUCGAGUGCAAACACUUAGUAGUAGAUCACACUAUCUCACUAAGUCACUCUUUUGGUAUUUCUCUCACGAUCACAAACGUUUAAGCUCUCCAAAGACAAGUGUAUGAACAAAGAUCGCUCGAACUUUGAAAUUAUAACUCCAAAGACAAGUGUAUGAACAAAGAUCGCUCGAACUUUGAAAUUAUAAAUUCUACGCUUCGUCUCUUACUUGCUCAUCGAUCCUUCAUCUCCUUAAAUACUUCUCCACUUCCAAACUACCUGUUGGACAGUAUCUUGAGGAUCGUCUUCCAAUAUACCAAUUGGACAGCUCUGUAUCUAGAAGAUUUGGUAGCCGUUGAGUGACAAAGGUAAAAUCCCAAAUUGAUUCCGAUCGCCCAUAUAGAAAGUUCUUGUCUUCAAAAUCCAAUUAUCAAUCAAUUAGAUUGAAUCAAUCAAAUCAAUCUUGAUGUGGAAUCCAAACCAAUUCAAUAGCCGUUAUAUGAUUGGGCUUGAGUUACGUUCUGUCGAAUCUGGAUGUAAAGUCUGAGAGCAAUAGACUUUACAAUCUGAGUCUAAGUGCGAUAGAAUUUGCAAUCUGAGUCUGAACAUAUUCUGCUUCUAAACAUAUUUAGCUUUAAGGUCCAUAUCCAGUUCAGCUUUAACAUAGAGUCUGUCUUUUAGUUCAGCUUCAGCACAAAGUCUGUCUUCUGAUUCAGCUUCAGCAUAGAGUCUGUCUUCUGGUUCAUCAUUCACGUUCAAUCUGAAAUUUGUCAGAGUUGACAAACUUCUGAUGUAGAACAGACUUUAACACUAAAGUCUGGCAGUCUUCAAACUUUAACACAGAAGUCUGGAAAUCUUCAUAAUAUACUUUGGACAUGUGUUACGUUCAGUCUUUUGGCAGUCUUCUAACUUUGACAAUAUCCUUUACAUGUUCUAUCAUCUGUAUGGUCUAUUACUUAACCAUUAAACAUAUUAGUAGCCUUUGAUUUAUUUUGACAUCAUAAGGGAUUUCCCUAACACCUUUCAACAACUCAACAAAUGGCUCAUUCAAAUAAUACUUUUGGGACUCACAUAUGACACUAUGUUCAAGAAUAUGUUGAGUACCGGUAGAAUUGUUUCUACAAAAAAAAUUCAGUAAAGCAAAUGUUGUAAGAGAUUAAGCAUUGUUAGAGGAUAAAAGAAAAGAUGAUCUACAUAUGACAAUCAUCCAAAAUCUUGAACUUAAAAAAUAUUUUAGAUUUCAACUAAAAUUAUUCAAAAAUAGGAAAAAAAAACUUAUUUCUCUUCUUUGGUAGUAUUUUCCAAUAAAAUAAAGAAAAAUGGUACCCUUAAUUAAGCCGGUUCGAUUUUAAAAAAAAAAACUAUUACUCGAUAUGAAAAGUACUCAAGGCGGGAUUUGAAAAACGAUAUUAUUAUUAGUGAGACCAGUUCCAUGGAUCCACCCGGGAACUGGACCAGACCAACAGUUUGGUUCUUGGGUGAUCCAUGCAACAACAGGUGGUUCCCGGUUCCAAUUUUUUGGAACCGAUCCUUAGUAGGUGGUUCUCGGUUCUAGGUCGGGAACCGCCCACCCAAACCAUGCAGACCCCAGUUCCAUGAGCGGAUCUGUCCAUCCGGACCGAACCAAUUAUAUUAUAAUAAUAUAUUGAUUUUUAAUAUUAAAAUAAAUUUCAAAAUUACUAAUUAACAAAUUUAAAUUUUAGGGCUCCGUCUCCUCUCAUGAUUUCCAUGUUUUAAUAAGAAUUUAGUAAAGUGUGUAAGCUGCCUUUUGAGAGUGCUAGUAUGAACACCUAGAGAGGGGUGAAUAAGUGUUUAAAAUAAAUCUUGGCAAAUAUAUGCGGAAUAAACUUCAAACAAAUAAGUUAAGGAAGAGAAUAAGAACACAAGGUUUAUAGUGGUUCGGCUUAAUCCAAGCCUACGUCCACUCUCCCACGCUAACAGCCUUCUUAGCUGGAUUCCACUAUGCAAUCAACAAGAGAUUACAACUUCGAGUGCAAACACUUAGUAGUAGAUCACACUAUCUCACUAAGUCACUCUUUUGGUAUUUCUCUCACGAUCACAAACGUUUAAGCUCUCCAAAGACAAGUGUAUGAACAAAGAUCGCUCGAACUUUGAAAUUAUAAAUUCUACGCUUCGUCUCUUACUUGCUCAUCGAUCCUUCAUCUCCUUAAAUACUUCUCCACUUCCAAACUACCUGUUGGAUAGUAUCUUGAGGAUCGUCUUCCAAUAUACCAAUUGGACAGCUCUAUAUCUAGAAGAUUUGGUAGCCGUUGAGUGACAAAGGUAAAAUCCCAAAUUGAUUCCGAUCGCCCAUACAAACGAAAUCUUGGUUUCCAUAAGUUAAGCUUCUUCGUAUAGAAAGUUCUUGUCUUCAAAAUCCAAUUGUCAAUCAAUUAGAUUGAAUCAAUCAAAUCAAUCUUGAUGUGGAAUCCAAACCAAAUCACUAGCCGUUAUAUGAUUAGGCUUGAGUUACGUUCUGUCGAAUCUGGAUGUAAAGUUUGAGAGCAAUAGACUUUACAAUCUGAGUCUGAGUGCGAUAGACUUUGCAAUCUGAGUCUGAACAUAUUCUGCUUUUGAACAGAUUUAGCUUUAAGGUCUGUACCCAGUUCAGCUUUAGCAUAGAGACUGUCUUCUGGUUCAACUUCAGCAUAGAGUCUAUCUUCUGGUUUAACUUCAGCAUAGAGUCUGUCUUCUGGUUCAUCAUUCACGUUCAAUCUGAAAUUUGUCAGAGUUGAUAGACUUCUGAUGUAGAACAGACUUUAACACUAAAGUCUGGCAGUCUUCAAACUUUAACACAGAAGUUUGGAAAUCUUCAUAAUAUACUUUGGACAUGUGUUACGUUCAGUCUUUUGGCAGUCUUCUAACUUUGACAAUAUCCUUUACAUGUUCUAUCAUCUGCAUGGUCUAUUACUUAACCAUUAAACAUGUUAGUAGCCUUUGAUUUAUUUUGACAUCAUAAGGGAUUUCCCUAACACCUUUCAACAACUCAACAAAUGGCUCAUUCAAAUAAUACUUUUGGGACUCACAUAUGACACUAUGUUCAAGAAUAUGUUGAGUACCGGUAGAAUUGUUUCUACAAAAAAAAUUCAGUAAAGCAAAUGUUGUAAGAGAUUAAGCAUUGUUAGAGGAUAAAAGAAAAGAUGAUCUACAUAUGACAAUCAUCCAAAAUCUUGAACUUAAAGAAUAUUUUAGAUUUCAACUAAAAUUAUUCAAAAAANNNNNNNNNNNNNNNNNNNNNNNNNNNNNNNNNNNNNNNNNNNNNNNNNNNNNNNNNNNNNNNNNNNNNNNNNNNNNNNNNNNNNNNNNNNNNNNNNNNNUGAUUAAAGUUUUGAUUUUACUUAAACCUCCAGUUAAAGAUAAGUGAAAACUUUAAGCGCUAAGUUGGGUUGAUCCACUCCAAUACUUUGACUUGGUUGGUGAUUACUAAUUAGUUUAAAUUACCCCCAAAAAAUGACAUGUUAACUAAAGAGAUAAAAAAAAAAAAUGAAAGAUACAAAUUAUUUACCAUGUUGACUUUUAUGUAAAAUUAACUAAUGUACAGAUGUGUACGAUGUGAGUCAUCGGAACCUUUGGCUCAUCUAAUCUCUCUUUCUCUUCGUGAGGACGCGAAGCACGACACCGUUCAAAUGAUCAUGGCAUGGUUGUCGGCCCAUCAUGGUCAAAUUAGGUAAAAGUGCUAAUUUGCUAGAAUAAUACUUAGCCUACGAUAUCUAAGGAAAAAAUUAAGAUGCAAAGCCAUGCUUUUGAAAAUAAAGGAUGUAAAAAAAAGUAGUAUCAUGGGUGAAGACUUAAGGCAUACAAUUUAAUAUUUUCCUUCUUUAUUAAUAUUAAUACCAACGAUCGAUCUAUUUAUUGUUUUGUUUUUGUUUCGCAAUAAGCAACACACAUUAUUUAUGAAAGAUUGUUACUAUUUGAAAUUGACCGCAUACUUUUAGAAACAAAACUUCAGUAGAAAAGGAAAAUAUUAAAGAGUGCUCUAGAGGCAAUUUUUUAAAUAGAAUUCAAAGUUUACUAAAUGAAGUAAGAGACUUUGUUAAAAUGUGGAAUUCUUUCAAUUUCAGAAUAUCUUUGAAAAGUGCGAUUUUCAUUUUUAGCGAUUGCUGGCCCAAUGGGCUCUCUUUUCGUACCGAGCUGAAAGGAACACCACCAGCCGCAUACAAAAUAGCCCACUCCGAUCAUCGUCAUCCUCCCCCCUCGGAUUGGAAACCCUAGCACCGAUCCUCAACCUCGGCUUCCCAGAGGGUAAGCUAGACCGCCCGCCGACGCCGACCGAAGAAGCAGAGGCAGCUCCGCUCUCCGUUCGUCCGCCGCCAUGGGUCGCAUGCACAGCCGAGGGUACACCGCGAAAACCCAUCAACUUCUUGCCGUCGUUGUCCCGACCGGUUGCGAGUUUUGCUGACUCUGUUUUUGUUUCUGGUUGUCUCUCCUUUGUGGGUUUUCUUGAUACUUGGCAGUAAGGGUAUUUCAGCUUCUGCUCUGCCCUACAAGAGGACUCCUCCGAGCUGGCUCAAGAUUUCUUCUCAGGAUGUAAGAACAUUUUUUACUGCGUUAGUUUGUUUUUGUGGGAUAAUGGGUAGUUUGUAGCUGUCGCCUCCCUCUCAGGAUCUGGUGUAAAGAUGUGGGAAGCUCAACUCUGAUGUUGUUAUGAUAUUCGUUUCGGUAGUUUGUACCCAAUUUGGUCGGAGCAAAGAGGGCCUAUACCCAUGCAUGACAUCCUAUCCGAAACCGAGUAAUGUAGUCACUCUCAUCUAGUAGAACGGUGCUUGUAAUUGUUUACCCGACUAUCGGUGGGAGGAAACCGUGGAUGCUGUUUGACUUUCUCUUUCUGGGCUUAUCUGCCUAAUUGCGUCGUGUUGGAUUCUGUGCAAUUUGGUGCCUUUUGUUAUGUUUAUAAUUUCUGUGGACUCUUUGAUUAGAUAAAGCGUGCAUUUGGAUAGUGGGAUUCCAAUAGAAAGGGCAUUAACAUGCUGGUACUCUUCCAUGCGCAAUGUUGCGGCGGUUUGCAUUUGAGCAUGAUCUGAUUCAGAUAGUUAUCUGUUACUAUUAAGUAAUGGCUCUGUUUCGAGUCUGAUGUUUGAGCAUGAUCUGAUUUUUGAUGGCUCGUUGCUGCACGAGUUAUAGAGCCUCAAUAAUAGAGCACUUAAAGCUGAUAGUCGCAAUUAUGUUUCUUGAAAUUUUAGGUUGAGGAGAACAUUUGCAAAUUUGCCAAGAAGGGUCUGACUCCAUCACAAAUUGGUGUCAUCCUUAGGGAUUCUCAUGGUAUUGCUCAGGUCAAGAGUGUUACUGGGAGCAAGAUCCUGCGUAUACUGAAGGCCCAUGGUGAGAGCUUUUACCACUCCUUACAGUUUCUUUCUUUACGUCCUUCUAUCUCUUUCUCUCUCUCCAACACACCCCCCCCCCCCCCCCCCCCCCCCCGGGUCUUUUCUCUCUCUCUCUCUCUCUCCUUCUUCUGAACCACAAGCGAGGUGAUGUGAUGCUUUGCUUUCUCUUUCUGAAUGUUACCUAUUAUUUGGGUCAGGGCUGGCUCCUGAAAUACCUGAGGAUUUGUACCACCUUAUCAAGAAAGCAGUUUCCAUUCGGAAGCACUUGGAGAGGAACCGAAAGGAUAAAGAUUCCAAGUUUAGACUCAUCCUGGUUGAGAGCAGGAUCCACCGCCUUGCUCGUUACUAUAAGAAGACCAAGAAGCUACCACCCGUUUGGAAAUAGUAAUGUUCUUUCCUUUCACUUCUCCAAGUGUUGUUUGCUAUAUGAGUGCUUACUCCUUUUAUGAUGCAUUGGUUCUUUGAAACAAAUAUCUGAAUUAGAGCGUCCAUGGCUCAGCCACCUGAGAAUAUAGUUAUUCACAAAAGUAACAGGCUGAGACUGAAUGAAUGUUGCUUAUGUCCCAUGUUGACAUUUUAAGGAAAAUGGAAUCCAUGUUACUUUAGUUCCAGCAUGCUUAUUUAGUGGUAGCCUAUUGGGUGGAGGAACUAGAUUCAAUCAUCCUUUUCUAUUCAAUUUUUCCUUAAAGAAGGUUGGGUCGCAACUAAUGUCUGUCUCUUUCAUGCGGAUCAUUCUCAGUAUUGAUUUUGUAUGCUAUUUUUGUUUAUUGCUUAGUGAUAUGUAGAUGAAAAAAAACGUGUUUC
rnacentral:lncRNA from 1 species